rnacentral:rRNA from 1 species
AUACGUAGGGUGCAAGCGUUAUCCGGAAUUAUUGGGCGUAAAGGGCUCGUAGGCGGUUCGUCGCGUCCGGUGUGAAAGUCCAUCGCUUAACGGUGGAUCCGCGCCGGGUACGGGCGGGCUUGAGUGCGGUAGGGGAGACUGGAAUUCCCGGUGUAACGGUGGAAUGUGUAGAUAUCGGGAAGAACACCAAUGGCGAAGGCAGGUCUCUGGGCCCGUUACUGACGCUGAGGAGCGAAAGCGUGGGGAGCAAACAGGAUUAGAUACCCUGGUAGUCCACGCCGUAAACGGUGGAUGCUGGAUGUGGGGCCCGUUCCACGGGUUCCGUGUCGGAGCUAACGCGUUAAGCAUCCCGCCUGGGGAGUACGGCCGCAAGGCUAAAACUCAAAGAAAUUGACGGGGGCCCGCACAAGCGGCGGAGCAUGCGGAUUAAUUCGAUGCAACGCGAAGAACCUUACCUGGGCUUGACAUGUUCCCGACGAUCCCAGAGAUGGGGUUUCCCUUCGGGGCGGGUUCACAGGUGGUGCAUGGUCGUCGUCAGCUCGUGUCGUGAGAUGUUGGGUUAAGUCCCGCAACGAGCGCAACCCUCGCCCCGUGUUGCCAGCGGAUUGUGCCGGGAACUCACGGGGGACCGCCGGGGUUAACUCGGAGGAAGGUGGGGAUGACGUCAGAUCAUCAUGCCCCUUACGUCCAGGGCUUCACGCAUGCUACAAUGGCCGGUACAACGGGAUGCGACAGCGCGAGCUGGAGCGGAUCCCUGAAAACCGGUCUCAGUUCGGAUCGCAGUCUGCAACUCGACUGCGUGAAGGCGGAGUCGCUAGUAAUCGCGAAUCAGCAACGUCGCGGUGAAUGCGUUCCCGGGCCUUGUACACACCGCCCGUCAAGUCAUGAAAGUGGGCAGCACCCGAAGCCGGUGGCCUAACCCCUUGCGGGAGGGAGCCGUCUAAGGUGAGGCUCGUGAUUGGGACU